rnacentral:rRNA from 1 species
UGGGGAAUAUUGCACAAUGGAGGGAACUCUGAUGCAGCGACGCCUCGUGAACGAAGAAGGCUUUCGAGUCGUAAAGUUCUUUUAUAUGGGAAGAUAAUGACGGUACCAUAAGAAAAAGCCCCGGCUAACUACGUGCCAGCAGCCGCGGUAAUACGUAGGGGGCUAGCGUUGUCCGGAAUCACUGGGCGUAAAGGGUUCGCAGGCGGAAAUGCAAGUCAGGUGUAAAAGGCAGUAGCUUAACUACUGUAAGCAUUUGAAACUGCAUAUCUUGAGAAGAGUAGAGGUAAGUGGAAUUUUUAGUGUAGCGGUGAAAUGCGUAGAUAUUAAAAAGAAUACCGGUGGCGAAGGCGACUUACUGGGCUCAUUCUGACGCUGAGGAACGAAAGCGUGGGUAGCAAACAGG